GCCGAAGCCGGGAUUAAUCUGGAUGCUGAACCGGGACCUUUGACUUCUAUCGACCUGCGCACGGAAACAACCGUACGCUGAGUAAUUCAUACUCAGUGGUAUUACCAUAAUUCAAAUUAUAACAAUAAUGUACAUGUAAUGCAUAAAUCGUAUAUACAAUUUAAAUUAAAUAUUUCAACAAUAGCAAUUCAUCAACCAAUAUCGUAUAUCCACAAUUUGAGUUUGAAUAAUUCACGAACCUUAGGUUCAUUUCUCAAUCUCAUUUCACAUUUCAAUUCACAAUUCAACUUUUUCAUAUCAUUUCAAUAGCUCGUUUGACCAACUCGUUCGGUUUAUCAUUUCAUCAUUUACCCUAUUAACAAAACUCAGACUUUGGCGGAUACACGGAUCCAACCAAACACACCAGAAUGGCACCCAGUGCCUCAUCGGAUAGUUCGAAGCAAUAGUUGACACCCAGUGUCUCAUCGGCCAAGCCGAAGUAAGUUGGUACCCAGUACCUCAUCGAAUCUAUCCGAAGAAAUAUAGUGACACCCAGUGUCUCAUCGACUCGAGGUCGAAGUAUCCCUGAACUCUUCCAAUCCUAUGGCAUGCCAACUAUAUCCGACUCAGCCCGACUAGUUAAUAGGGUAUUUAAAUCACAUAUAUUCUCAAUUCAAUCACAAUUUCUCACAUUUUCAAUUCAAUCAUUUUUCCACCUU
rnacentral:lncRNA from 1 species